rnacentral:lncRNA from 1 species
CAGGAAGUUCAGCACUGGCUGAAGCUGGGAGCAUGAGGCAGGCAAGCAGAGAGGGGCUGCUGGACUGUAAUCCUGUUUGUGUUUCUUUGCAGGUACACAGAGAAUGAGCGGACAACUCAAAAGAGCAACCAUACUUGAACCUGAUACAGAAGCUUAUGCAAAGGGGUGAAGGUAUUUGAUGAGGAGAACUAUGUGGUCAGAGUGGUGGUGAAGAUUGCUUUGCCAGCAGGAUUUUGGAUGGGCUAGCAUGGAGUGAAUUAAGAAGCUAAAGGCAAGAAGGAUGCAGAUUUCAGUAGCUGAGGUGGGAACUGACCGAGA